GUAGGUCUGAAGAAGCAGGAGACAGGCCCUGGAUGGAGGUGCCCCAUUUGAAACCAGGGUUUCAAAUAUAAAUUCUUCAGAAUCCAGUGGAUUGUUUCACCUCAUCAGGAGUCCAGCGUGUGCCUGGGCAGGCGAUAGUGCUCUGCUUUGGGACGGAGCUUCUUUUCCUGUGGGUUGGCAUACUUCCACUUGGAAGAUAAGAAUAUCAGGAUGAAGGGAAAGUAGGAGGACAGAGGAUAAAAGUAAAGCUAAUGUUUGGACACAAAAAUGCACAUCAUAAGGCACUA